rnacentral:rRNA from 1 species
GAGUUUGUAUCCUGGCUCAGGAUGAACGCUAGCGGCAGGCCUAACACAUGCAAGUCGAGGGGCAGCACGGUGUAGCAAUACACUGGUGGCGACCGGCGUCACGGGUGCGUAACGCGUAUGCAACCUACCCAUUAACCAGGGGGAUAACGACUGAGAAAUUGGUACUAAUACCCCAUAACAUCAGGACCGGCAUCGGUUCUGGUUGAAAACGUACCGGUGGUUUAUGGGUAGUGGGGCAUGCGUUGUAUUAGC